rnacentral:rRNA from 1 species
GAAUUAAAUUUCUUUAUUUCGCAAUAGAAAUAAAAGAAGGUCUGUUCGACCUAUAAAAAUUUACAUGAUUUGAGUUCAAACCGGUGUAAGCCAGGUUGGUUUCUAUCUUUUUUAAUUAUUUUACAGUACGAAAGGACAAAAAAUAAUAUUUUAAAUAUUUAUAUUGGCAGAACAAUGCAUUAGAAUUAGAAUCUAAAUAAACUUAAAAUUUCUUUACUUAAUUCAAUUUUUCCUAUAAUUAGAAUACUAAUUAGAGUAGCUUUUUACACAAUUUUAGAACGAAAAAUUCUAGGGUAUAUUCAAUUUCGUAAAGGA